UACGUAGGGUGCAAGCGUUGUCCGGAAUUACUGGGCGUAAAGGGCUCGUAGGCGGCCAACUAAGUCGGAUGUGAAAUCCCCAGGCUUAACCUGGGAACUGCAUCCGAUACUGGAUGGCUUGAAUUCGGGAGAGGGAUGCAGAAUUCCAGGUGUAGCGGUGAAAUGCGUAGAUAUCUGGAGGAAUACCGGUGGCGAAGGCGGCAUCCUGGACCGACGAUGACGCUGAGGA
rnacentral:rRNA from 1 species